UGCACUGAACGGUAUCUGCACCCAAUGGCUGCUUCCUAUUGUGGUGUUCAUUAACCAGUGCAAUAUUAAAUCAGUAACUGGCAUCGUUGGUUUCCAAGCCUCAUGUGCUUGUAAACCUGGUAUUUAUGCUGAUACAGCU